AGGCAGGCGCUCAGUCUGUGGAGAGUCGCUCUCGGACGGAAGUGAUGAGAGUGAAAGAAAGAAAAAAAAAGAGAAAAGAAGAAGAAGAAGAAGAAGAAGAGUCCACUGUGUGACACACUUGAAGAAGCCCGCAUCGGUCCACCUUUCGGGAAGAGGGGGGACAGCGAGUCCUGCUCCUUUUACAGGCGGGAGCUGAUGGAGGAGGAGGAAGAAACAGAACCGUGUUUCCUGAUGUGGACUCUCUGUGUCUCCAUGAGGAGAGCCUCCAUCAGCCAGUGUGUUAUCAUGCUAGCCCGACGUCGCUCGGCCUCCCACGGCAGAGUAAUGGAUGCAGGUCCAGCCCGUUCAAUGACAUCAGCACCCUAAGCCGAUGAAACGGGGCCGAUGGAUGACCAUAGAUCAGCGUUUAGCAUCCUGACGUCAGCCCCCGUCCGGGCAGCAGCGCAGCGACACUGUUGGCAGUUGUUCCCCGCUGCUGACAAUGGGAGCUCUCAGCCUGUGGCCGGCCGAUGGCUUGGGCACAAAAAGCUUGGCUGCACAGCAGGACAUCGCAGCAUUGUUCUCUGGACUAGA